rnacentral:lncRNA from 1 species
AGGGGCCAAUCCAGCCAUACAGCGGGCAUAGCCUCUGUCCUGCAGCCUGAAGCUCAGGAGGCUGGGUCUUCAUCUCACAGUAAAGAGAGAGGCUGUGCGAGGCUCAGUGUUAUGCCUGAUCACAUUGCUAGGAGCUGUAUGUUUGAAACCUGGGUUUCACUAUUGGUCUAAUGUGGUAUUUGUCUCCCCCAGAGGUGCGAUUUUUGGAGUGUCCACUUCAGAUCCUGAUUGGUUUCUAUAGAAAUGGUGAAGCCAGGGUGUGGGUUGCUCCCACUUUUCCCCUCUCUCCACCUCUCAGGUUGCACACUGUCUGGAAACCUAGAGACUAAGCCAGGAGGCUUUGUUAUUCCUGCCACCUUCAUUUCCAUCCAGGUGGAGAGCUCUUCUAAGGUCCAUAGGAGAAGGAGAAAGGUCAGUGAGCAGCAUCUGCCCUGGAGGGGAAAAAGGAAGCAGGAGAUACAGAUUCCAAAUCAGAAGCACAAGUGGACUUUCAGGAGAGUCAUUACCUCUGGAGAGAAAGAGGGAAUAUGAAAUGAAGGGCCACGUUGGAAGCUUCUAUGUGAUGUUAAGACCAAAAGCAAAUACCAUAUAAUGUUACGAUGUGACAAAGCAGAGGACGGUGAAUACAAAAACAUUUGUUGUUCUGUGUACAUUUCUGUUUACUUGAAAUAUCCCUUUGAAAACACAAAGCAUACCAUGAGUGGGGCAUAAAAUCCGAUUAAUCACAACCUACUGUAAGCACUUCACUGAUUUUUAAUAACCUUGACCUUUCCUGAAAAGGUACAUUGUUACUCUGAGGUCUAGUUCAAAUGUCACUUCCUCCCUGAAAACAUCACUGAUUCCCUCUCCUGGCUGAAAGAAUUGUGCUCAGGAAGGCAGAUCCAGGUCACAGCUCUCCUAAUUCUCUGUCCUUUGUACCUCUGUGUUCUAGCAACCCACAGCCCUGGGCCUUGCUGUGGCAGGUGCUCUGUCAGUGUCUGUGGACUGGAAGACCAUGCCUCUGGUGCCAGAGGUGGGAGUCAGUUGGUCGACACUUUAAACUCUAAGAGUUUCACAGUUUAUUUCCUAAGCUGGAUCACCAUGGCUGAAUGUUGUAUCAGUAUAAAACAUGAAGUCACAAAAGGCAAAUGUACUAAGAACCCCAUCCCAGAACCAGCAGUGACCUCAAAGGGACUGAGGUAGAGAAAGGCAGUCAGAGAAGCUUUCGAGCCAUUCCUAAUUUCCUGGCCUUGGGAGGCACUCAGGAACAUGCACUGUCCUUAAAAUUUUGUGGGUUAUGACUCUGAAUAAACACGGCAUUGUAGGGCAAAGCUCUCCUGGAAGGAACUUAGUAACAAGGAGUUAAAGAAUCUGUAUUUUAUGUCCUGCAAAGACUCUGUGUGUGUAUCUACAGCUUGGUUAGAUCAGUCAGGGUGAAUUAACCCAGACACUGUUCAUGCUUUCCCCAUGUGGACAGAUUACAUGCAACUUUCCUAAAAGACAGCAGUUUCAAAAACAGUACAUUUCCACUAUCAUAAUCUGAAAUGUCAUUUUUUGCCAAAGGAAGGAAAAACAGUAAAUUCCUUCCCUAUUUACUCAUCUUCAAAGGAUACAGUAAAAGAUUCCAAGGACGAUGUAGACAGGCGACCGCCCCUAGAGCAUUUCCCAAUGUGGAAUG